ACUGAACUGCCCCGCCAGGAGCUCCGGACAGCCACGGCAACAUCCAGCGCCCUGGCAAUCCUUAAACCUUGGCCUGACCACCGGUGACAGCAGUGCUGCAAUACGUCAUGCAGAUGGGGCAGCCUGUCUCCAGAGUGCAAGUGGAAGCAGUCCCAGGGAUCAAAUAUAAGCACAACGAUCAUUACACACGUGCCUCGCAAGCAUGAGUUGUGCAGAGAUUUCCACUGAGCUGCAUAAAACGUCCCCAGUCUGUUUCUUGACUGGACAGAUGUAUAGAUUAAUUGUAAAUAGAUCUGUUUUUAGCUCCAUAUGUUAAAUAAACAUUCAGUUUUCCAGUG